AUUGAACGCUGGCGGCAGGCCUAACACAUGCAAGUCGAGCGAGCGGCGGACGGGUGAGUAAUGUCUGGGAAACUUCCUGAUGGAGGGGGAUCACUACUGGAGACAGUAGCUAAAACCGCAUAUCACCAGAUUUGCCCAGAUGGGAUUAGCUAGUAGGUGGGGUAACGGCUCACCUAGGCGACGAUCCGUCAAUGGUAUGAGAGGAUGAUCCGCCACACUGGAACUGAGACACGGUCCAGACUCCUACGGGAGGCAGAAGUGGGGAAUAUUGGACAAGGGGCGAAAGCCUGAUGCAGCCAUGCCGCGUGUGUGAAGAAGGUCUUCGGAUUGUAAAGCACUUUAAGUGGGGAGGCGUUACCCACAGAAUAAGCACCGGCUAACUUCGUGCCAGCCGCCGCGGUAAUAC
rnacentral:rRNA from 1 species